UUGUCUUUUAAUUGAAGACUAGAACAAAAGAUUGAACAAUUUAAUUAAUAUAUAAAACUUUAAAAUUAUUUUAAAUGUAAAAAAACUUUUAUACAAAAGGAAGACGACAAGACCCUAUUAAACUUAACUUAAGUUCAACUGGGGCAGUUAAUCAAUUAUUAUUUUAAUAAAAAAACAAAAAUAAAAGAUCCAAUAAAAUUGAUUAAAUGAUCAAGUUACUAUAGGGAUAACAGCGUAAUAUUAAUUUAAAGAUCUUAUUUAAAUAAAAGUUUACGACCUCGAUGUUGAAUUAAUAACCUAAUUAUUGCAAUAAAUAAAUAAAGGAAGUCCGUUCGACUAUUAAAAAAUUACA
rnacentral:rRNA from 1 species